UCUCCGUAGGUGAACCUGCGGAGGGAUCAUUGAAUCUAUUGAUCUUACUGUCCGGUGGAACCGUUGUUCAAGUGCCGCUCUGUCCGCCACUCCGAGUCGGGCUGGCCUGUGUGGGAACAGGCCCGCCUUGUGGGCAGAGUCGGGUGCCCCUUUCCAACCUUGGAGAGGUUGCCCGGGCGACGGCCGAAACCCUGUUUUUCUGACCAUAGACUGGCUUAGCUGAAGCUCUGCGGCCCCCGAAAGGAGGCUGCACACAACUGAGACAACUCUCAACAACGGAUAUCUUGGCUCCCGCAUCGAUGAAGAACGCAGC
rnacentral:misc_RNA from 1 species